AUGCUGAAGGUCCCAUCAGAAUACAGAACGUCUCGACAGGCGCAGACAGUUGGUGACAGAGGCCUGGUUUCCUCAGUCAACUGCAGCCUUUGGCUUGUUACUCAAAAUGGUCCUUCUCUUUUCCCCCUCAUCUUACAAUCUGAGAAUCUCCCUAGCCAUGGGCCCAUCACCGUCGGGUGCUUAGCCAAGGAUGUCCCACCUGCCUUGGUCAGGUUCACCUGGGAGGACCGUAGCAAUGUCAGUGUCAACGCAACUUACAUUAAGCAAUAUCCUACUGUCGGCAACUCUGCUGGGACUUUCACUGCAAGCUCCCAGCUGGCCAUCUCUGCCGAAGAUUGGGAGAAUUUUGAACCGUUCUAUUGCAAGGCUGAGAGCGUCGAUGGGGUAGCACGGGUUGUUCGCCAGGCCUCACAAACAACAGAGCCUAGGAUGAUCAUCCGCGUACCACGAUGCCAAGAUUUUGAGAAUCCCAACAUAAAGGCCACCGUUGUCUGCCUGGCUGACCACUUGCCAACUGGAAGCACAACCCUCCAGUGGUUAAAGGAUGGAAACAUACUUGACUCUGGCUUCACCACCACUGGACCAGUUGCCAACGGAUGUAACGGCUAUAGCAUCAUCAGCGAGCUCCCAGUCAGUAAGCAAGACUGGAACAGUGGCAAAGAAUUCUCCUGCAGCGUGCGUAACAAUAUGUUCAGCGACACUAAGAACAUCAGCAAACCCACGGUUUGCAACUCAGGCUGUGCUGAAGUCCCUAUAGAGGUCCGUGUGGAGACCAUCCCACCACCCUUCAUCGAUAUUUAUCUGUCCAAGUCGGUCAAUCUGACCUGCAGAAUCUCUAAUGCUCCCGAUGAGGAGGACCUGAAAGCACUGACUGUCACCUGGACAAGGGUGUCUGACAAGAAGAAUCUGGAAACCAUCAUUGGACAGAUUAAGAAGGAAGAAAACAGGGAGAUGUUCUUUGUGGACGCAACAGCCACCAUUUGCAAAGAGGAAUGGGAACGCGGGGAUACAUUUGAGUGCAAAGUUACUGGUUCCCAUCUUCCCACACCUGAAAUAAAAACUCUGAAAAAGCUUCAUGGUGGCACCCCCCAUGCUCCCACUGUCUACGUUUUCCCCCCGCCCUCCGAACAGCUGGCUUUGAAGGAAACGGCUACUGUCACUUGCCUGAUGAAAGGUUUCUACCCCAAUGACUUCUUUGUGAAAUGGCUGCGGAACGAUGAGCCGGUGGCCGAUUCAGAGUACUUCACCAGCAAGCCCAUCCAGGAAUCCGGGACCCCCGAGCGGUACUUCACCUACAGCACGUUGAACGUCAGAGAGCAGGACUGGAGUUACGGAGCCAUUUACACUUGCGUGGUGGGACACGAGGCGCUUCCCUUCCAGACAACUCAGAAGACCCUAGACAAGAACAUGGCAACUGAUAGCUAUUUAUUGUCUAAAGUUUACCUUGACGGGUUAGUGAUUGCUGAAGAUGACGAAGGACUCCUAAACAUCUCGUCAAUCCUUUCCACCUUCAUCAUCCUCUUCCUCGUGAGCCUUUUCUACAGCGCCACGGUGACUGUCAUUAAGGUAAAAUAA